ensembl:lncRNA
CUAGGAUGUAAGGAUCCACAGGGUUCUUUUAGGCAUUGAACUAUAAAGUUAAUAACCCUUGUUUUAGUGUUCUUUUUGAAAUUUCAUGUAUCAUUCCACUAGUAGAGUGGAUAAAGAAAUUGGGCCAGGAAUAGGAGGCCAGGUUCUCACUCCGGGUCUUCGCUUAGUAGCAGUAAGACCUUAAGGUAUGGCAUCCACCCAGGUCCAGUUUCCUCACCUCCUCAUCUGUGAAAUAGAGUAGAAUGAGGUGUUCUUAGGAGUAUGAAAAAUCUAGAUGAAAUUCUGUGAUUAUUUUGUCUUCUUUUCGCUGUAUAUUUUUUGUGUUCUUUUACAGCAAAACAAUAAUUGGUACAUUUUAGGCAUACAUAAGGAUAACACUCAUCAUAGGGAAUUUGCCCCUGUCCAUGACACAUCCCGCCUUUUUUUCCAUCCUCCCCUCCCCUCAAGUCCCCUCCCCUCCCUGAGUACAAAAGCUUUGUUUCCAUUUUUUCCUUCUAUUUUUACUUUUUUUCUUGUCACUUUUUUCUUUUCUCCCUCCUUCUUCCCUUAUUCCCCUUCCCAUUUGAACAUUUUCUUCCCAUUUCCCAGUAUCUAUUAUACAUUUUAGUUUUUAUUUCCACUUUUGGUUUCUCAUACCAGAGAAACAAUGUGACAUUUAAACAUGUGCAUCCGAUUUAUUUCAGUUAAGUAUGGUCUCAAGGUCUAUCCAUUUAGCUAUAAAUGUCUGAAGCGCAUCCUUUAUGGAAGAAUAGUACUCCAUUGUAUGAAAAAUCCACAUCUUCUUUAUCCAUUUGUUCAAUGAUGACCAUUUGGGGUGUCUCCAAGCUUUAGCUACUACCAACUGUGCUGCUAUAAACAUGGGUGUGUAUAUAUCGCUGUGGUAUGAUGCUUUCAAUUUUGGGAGGAAGAUAACAAGAGGGGGAAUAGUUGGAUCAAAUGGAACAUCUAGUUUUAGUUAUUUGAGAAAUCUCUACACUGAUUUCCACAGUGGUUGCACCAGUCUGCAUUCCCACCAACAAUGGAGAAGGGUUUCUCUCUCCCACAGCCCCUCCAGCAUUUGUUAUUGGUUGAUUUCUUGAUAGCAGCCAUUCUUUCUGGGGUGAGGUGGAAUCUCAGUGUUGUUUUCAUUUGCAUCUCUCAAAUGACCAGUGGUAUUGAACAUUUUUUAUAUGUUUAUUUGCUGUUUCUACUUCUUCAUCUGAGAGGUUUCUGUUCAUUUCAGAUACCCACUUUUGGAUUGGGUCUUUGAAUUUGAGGGGUCUGAUUUUUUGAGUUUUUUAUAGAUUCUAGAUAGUAGUCCUUUGUCUGAUGACAGCUGGUAAAAUUUUCCCACACACUGGGUUGUCUCUUCACUCUGUUGGUGGUUUCUUUUGCUGUAUAAAAGUUUUUCGGUAGGAGAUACCAGUUGUUGAUUCUUUGUGAUUCUUUGUUGAUUCUGUGCAAUCCAGGUUCUGUUCAUAAAGUCUGCCUACACUAAAGUCUUCAAGAGUCCUGCCUCCUCUACCUGCCAACAGAUUUAGUAUUUCUAUUUUAAUAUUUAGAUCUUUAAUCCAUUUUGAUUUUUGUUAGUUCCUGGUGAAAGAUAUGGGUCUAGUUUCAAUCUUUGGCAUGUGGAAAGCCAGUUUUUCCAGCACCAUUUAUUAAAGAGGCUAUGUUACCUCCAGUAAAGGUGUUUGGCUCCUUUUGUCAAAGAUAAGGUGGCUGAGUGUGUCUGGAGUUCUUUCUGAAUCUUCUAAUCUGUUCCAUUUAUCCUGAAGUCUGUUUUUUUGCAAGUACUAUGGUGUUUUUAUCAUAGUAGCUUAGUAGUAGAAUUUCAAGUCAGGAAUUGUGAUGCUCCAGCCUUUUCUUUGUUGCCCAAGAUUGCCUUUUUCAUUCUAGGUCUUCUCUGGUUCCAAAUGAAUUUAAGGAUUGUUUUUUCUAAUUCUGUGAAAUAUGUUGUUGGAAUUUUGAUCAGAAUUGUAUUAAAUCUGUAUAACAAUUUUAGAAGUAUGGCCAUUUUUACUAGAUUGGUUCUUCCUGCCCAGGAACAAGGGAUGUCCUUCCAUUUUUUGAUAUCCUCCUUGAUCUCCUUUUACAGAGUACUGUAGUUUUCAGUGUAGAGGUGUUUUACUUCUUUUGUUAGAUUGAUUCCUAGAUAUUUCAUUUUUUUGGAUGCUAUUGUGAAAAGUGGAAUUUCUGAAAAAAAGUGCAAACAUGAUAUUCUAAUACAGUGCAUAUUUAAUUUACAUUCAAAAAUUUUGGUAUACAACACCAUACUCCAUGAAUGUAUACAGUUCUUAUGUGUCAAUUAAAAAUAAAAAGAAUGCAAGUGUAGAAUUUUCUAAUGUUUAUAUAAUUUAAAGAAAUUAUUCUUAAGAGUUUGAGUAUUCUUUAUGCAAAAUUCUUGGGAUUCAGGAUUUCAGAAUAUUUGAAUAGACUCCACAGGUUGAGUAUCUCAAAUCUGAAAACACAAAAUGCAAAAUGAAAUAAAAUCUGAAAAUUUGAAGCAUUUCUGAUUUCAGAUUUUUGGAUUAGGGAUGCUGAAUGGUGUCCUUUGUUCCCGCUAAUUCUAAGAUCUUUUUUUUUCUGUGAUUCAUUACCGUCAUUUCAUGUCAUUUGUAGAAUGUGUGUGAAAAUGGCUUACAGACUUGGGACUUGGGUCAUUUAAAAAAUGUUGUGGUGCAGGUAAAAUCUUUGUGUGUAGGAGGACACUUCACAUUGUGAAACACAGCCCCAGAGCGCUCCCUGUAAGACCUGGAGCCCAGACCCUGCAUUCCAAACCUGCCUCUGUUGCAGAAGAAUUUUAAUCCCUAGGAUAAUUUAUUAACAAGUUCCUUUUUUUGCUUAUUAAAUUAUUUUCUCUAAUAUUUUUAUUAGUAUUUACAAUACAUGAAGUGUACAUUUAUCUUCAGGAGUAGGUGCAUGUAUGUAACAUAUUUUGAUUCUUUUUCAUCCACUUUCCCUCCUCACCUCUGUCUCUAGGUUCCCUUUCCUCAUUUUCAUUGUUCUUAUUACUGUUGUUGUUGUUGUUGUUGUUGUUAUUUUAGUUCAUGAUUACAACAUACAGUGCUUAUGUACCUUGUUGGCAUUUGGUACAUGUACAUGACACAUUUUAAAUAUUUUUAUUUCUCUUUCCCCUUCCUCCUGGCCCUCACCCUUGGUCUCUUGGACCCCUUUCUGUUUGCAAAAGAUCUCCCAGUUCCCUUCUACCGAUCCUUUAUUCUGCUCUUUAUUCGCACUUUGCCUAACUCAUAUGAGAGAUACCAUGGGGUAUUUAAGCUUGUGAUGUCACGUACGUAACAUUAUAUUUUCCAGGUGUAUCCAUUUUCCUAUAAAUGUCUCUAAUUUAUCCUUUUUUUAUAGAGGAGUAGUAAUCCGGCAUGCAUAGAUACAAACAUGUUCUGAUUCUAAAUGUUCUUGCAUUAAAAUGAAGAUCAUGUCUGUUUCUCAGCUACAUUAUAAGAAAUAAGUUAGAUAGUAUCUGUGACUACACUUAACUUCAAUUUUAACAUUGAAAAGAUAUCAAGUUGAAGUUGGCAAGUCUUCGCUGAGCAUCUAAGGGGCAGUGCUCAAAGGUAGCAUGAAAGUGUCUGGUAAUAGCAAGGUAAGGCACGAGAGGAGCAGCUAGAAGCAGACGUGGUGAAUGAUGUGACGUAGACGGAACAAUGGACUAUGACUGCUGAGAUUGUGCAGUACUACUCAAGAAGGUGGGUUUGAACUGAGCUUUGGAGAAUGGGGAGGAUUUUACCAGCUAGAAAGGGAAGGAGAGUGAGCCAGGAGAGGCUUCCAAGCAGGAGGAAGACUGCCACCAGGGUUGGAUGGUUUAAUAUGUUGAUGGAACUUGGCUUCCUUUGAAAAGAAAGACAAAGAGAAGUUAUUUACAAAGAGGAAAUCAAAGUACAGCAUUGCUUUAUGUAGUAAAAAGCAAUGUAUAGUCCUAUCAGAAAUUAGUUCUACUCACAUAAAGUGCUGGAUUGUUCUUAUGUCUUAAAGAAGACAUAAGACCUUCUUGGGAUGCUUUUCCAAAUCAAGAGACAAGUAUUGUUAUAGUCAGGCAUUACUGAAAGGACCUUCAAGUGUUCUGUAAAUUUCUCCAGUAGUAGAAUAUGUCCCAUUCUUGGUGUUUUGACUAAUUAAGAUGAAAAAGUUCCAUAAAGGAAUUAGACUAGCUGAAGCAUAGCCAUAAAUCAGUAGAAGAUUAUCAUACUUAAUCUUGGUUGUUAUCCCUUAAAUUCAUGUCAUAAUCUAAUAAUUUUUCUUUGGAAUUGAUCCAGUGAAUGUCUGAAUUUCAUAGUUAAUGCCUCUGAAGAAUAAAGAAGUUAUCAGCUUUUGCCUUUCCAUAUAUAUGCCUUCCCUUUGAUGACCAUUUCUGAGAGUAUUUCAAAUAAGUUGUCAUGAAUUAGAUUGCUUGUAGGUACAUUGCAUUUCUGAAUGCCUGUAAGAAAUAUCUUUCUCACAAUUUGAGUUAAAUAUAUGUUCAGAAAGCUUCUUUAGUAUUUUCCCCCAUCUGUUCACUUUUGAGGAUGCUGAGAUUGAAGGUCACCUCACCUUCAAGAAUCGGAAUAAAAUCACUGAGAAAUUGUGUCUACACCAGGGUUUGUGUUUGAAGAAUAGAUGAACAUGGCGUGCAAAUGAGAAGAGACGUAAUGUAUUUUUAAAACAGACCAGAGUGAAUAUUUAGAAUUCCAUUUCUAACACUGUCAUUAACUCAUGGGGAGGUUUUCAGGAGAGAAGACAUCUUUAAGUUUUGGCUUAUUGAUGGAUAGAGCAUUUUAAAGAAAAGACAGGGAAUGAUAUCUGUUCUACAUGAGAUCAGAGACUAGAUCUCAGUGUGGCUACAUUAUAGGUGAAAGACCAUACUGGCCACAGUGCCAGGUGAUUUAUUGUACUUCUAGUUUUAGAUUUAUUCUUACAAAACUGAUGGUGAAUUUUUGACACAUGACAACACUCACUUUUACUUCUCUUAUAGGGGCCAAAUCUGAUUGGCAUAUAAUAAUAACGACAGAUAUUUGUGGCUGAAUCAAUGAAAAACUCAAGGGCGUAGAGAUUACACUUUUCAUUAGAAAGUGGUGAAAAAUUGUUUCUUCUUUAGUUCUUUUAAUUUUGUACUAUCCUUCACUAGUUUAUGACCUUAAACAGUGACCUUUUCAACAUAUUUAAUCUUUAGAUUCUCUAACUAAAAACCGUCAUGGUGCCUGUCAGGUUAGUGUGGAUUAUGCUAGAUAAUGUCUUAAUUUUAGCACAGUUUUAAGGAAAAUGUACAUUAUAGAUUUGUUUGCUAUCUGUCUUACUUUCCUGGUGCUCUUGAAUAUUGUGUUGGUUUUCUGUUGCUGAAACAAAAUAGAGAUAAUCAACUUAAAAGAGAGAAGGUUUAUUUUACUUCUUAGUUUUCAUCUGUGAUGGAUUGCCACAUUGCUUUUGGUCCUGUAGCAAGCCAGUAUGGUGGGAGCCUGGAGUGGAGAAAGCUUGUUCACCUCAUGGCCAGGAAUGGAGGACAGAGAGGGAGGAAACAGUUUGUCCCACAGUCCCUUUGUAAGGCACACCCCUAGUGACCUAAAACUCACCCCCCCACACACAUUUUAAAGUUUCUCCCACCUCCCAGUAGCACCCAGCAGGGUACAGAGCCUUUAACACUUGGUCCCAAUCCAAACUACGGCAGACAUCUUUUCCUCCAUUUUUUCUCCUCUGGUGAGAGACAUGACAUUUAGAGUGUUACUAGGUAUAGCGUUUUUCACUUUUUUUAUGCCAGGAUAUACUUGUUUAAUUAUGUGAAGGGACAGAAUUUCUGGGACCUCUUCUGUCUGUGUAUGAACUAGUUGUAGGAUUAUAAAGAUGUCAAACUAGAAGAGGACCCUGUAUUUGACCCUUUGCGGACAGAUCAGAAAAAAGCUUGCCAUAUACUUACAAAAAUUAAAAGUCAUUUACUGAUAAGAUUGAUUCUUUUUUAUUUUCAAGUUAACCAGACUGUGGGAGUAUCUUCUCCCCCCCCCAUAUCUAAAUUUCAGCACCUUCUGCCAUUCAUCCAUUUUAAUUUCUUCUAUACUUCAUAGCUGGAGAAACUCCAACCAAAAACGCUUGAUUUUGACAGGAUUUCAUGUAAUUUACCCAAAACAAUGCACAUCUGUUUCUUUCACAUGUCAGCAUACUGACACACAUGCACAUAGAAUAUUUGAAAAAAAGUUAUGUAGGAAGGCUAAUUAUAUGUUUCUUUAACCAUACCAUUUUCGUGAUUACAUUCACAGGAAAAACUUCAGCAAGAUAAUAUUGAAGAGCAACCUUUUCAUUGCUUGGUAAAGUUAUUUUUCUUUUUACCAUUGAAUUAUUUCAGUUGGUUGGCAGUCAGAUUGCUCCCAGUGCUGAUCUAUGGGAAAAUAAGUGUUCAGUAGUUGGAGCAAUUGCAUUCUGAAUUCUUCUGUUGGUUUCUUCGUCUUCCUCAUCCUCUUUGGCCUGGUCAGUCAUGAAGAUGCUGGCACCCAGGGUUCUGGCUUCUUCCUGUAAGGAGCAGCUGUUUGUUCUGUGUCAGAUCACAUGCCCAGCUGUGCCUGCUUGUCUUGCGCCUGUCCCUGGCCACCUAGCCCCUUGGAAUAAAUCUUUCCAUCCAUCAUAACUGGUAGAAAAACACUUCAAAGUGCCUGUGUUCCUGUAGAGGGGCUCAUCAUCUUGGGUGCACGUGAAACGGCAUUGUUGCUGCUUUGGAAGGCCACUGCUUCUGAGAUGCUGGUGCUUGUUUGCAUCCUCUCAGUGCCCACCAGUCCUUCACACGCCUUGAGGCCUGUAAGAGGCAGUGAACGCCAGAAUAGCUACUCACGAGCUCAGGGGCACUUCUUACUGCUCUCUGGUCACCCCUGCUACCUUUCCUGCUAUGGAAUUAUUGUGUUUAUUUUGUCUUGUUCUUCUCAUUAGGAUCCGGUCCAAGGGGCAGACAAGUGUCUCUAGAUAUUUAAUGAUAUCAAAAUAGACAUAAGCCAUUUGCUAUUGAGACAUAGAUUAUGCUUUAAAAUGACGAAAAGUUGUGAAGUAUGUAAGAGAAAGGUUGAGAGUUAUGAGUAUACUGAAGAAGUACUUAAAUCCAGUUUUCAGAUCUUAUCAGUUACGUUUGGUAAGUUUUUUUUAAAGUCCAACUCUAGAUUUUUAUGCUCAAAGUGCAGUGUAUGUUUCCUCUAAUGCCACCAUUUGGGGUAUAUACGUUUCUACAGGCAAAUGUUGUAAAAUAUGGGGAUGGUGAUGGAGGAGUGCAAAUUAAGCAAAUUGGAAAGGCAUUUAUAUGCGUCAAUGUGAAAUUGUAUUCUUUCAUUUUAAUUUAUGUUAUAGCUACUUUAAGAAUCAGACUUUCUAAAGAGCUCUUUAUUUUAGCCAUUUAUAGCAAGCAUUUAAAAACUACAUGAAAUCAUUGCUGUACUGCCGGGUGGAUCAUAAUUUAGAUACUUGCCCUGGUAAUCUAGUCUGUCUUAUUUUUACAUAAACUAUAUUAAGGUAAAUAACUUCUUUCCCUGAUGCCAGGCAAUUGCAAAAGUGUGACCAGUCUUACUACAUUCCAAGAAUGCUAAAAUACAAGCUGUGUUUUUAUAGAAUGUAGUUAACGGCAGCAAAGAUGUGUAAUGGUGGGCAGAAAAUUAGGGAGGAGUUCAAUUUAAGUACGGAAAAGGCCAAAAAGGAAAGUUAGUGAGGACCAGGAAAGAUGAUAAUAUGAUCAAAAAUAUGGUGAAUGUUUAAGUAUUUUUUUAAAAAAGAUUAUUACAGUAAAAAACACGUUGCCAUUAAUCCUCCUCAAAGUACUCCCUCUCACUUUGAACACACUCAUCUCAUCAUUCUUGACACUUUCUGAAGCAGUUCUGGAAGUCCUCUUUCAUGAGUGUCUUUAGUUGCAUUCUUCUGGAUGCCAUGAUGCCUUAAAUUGAGUCACAGUGUUUUACCUUUUAUAGUCAUUUAGACGUUGAGAGGCGUGUUCAUUGUAUAUAGAUAUUCUUUAUCCAUUCAUCUAUUGAUGGAUAUGUAGGCUGCUUCCAGGCUUUAGCUGUUAUGAGUUGCGGAGCUCUAAACAUAGGUAUGCGUGUAUCACUAUGGAAAGGUGUCUUUAACUCUUUGGGGAAGCUAUCAAGAAGGGGAAUAGCUGGAUCAAAUGGAAUUUCUAGUUUUUGUUUCUUGGGGAGUCUCCGUACUGAUUUCUUUAGUGCCUGUAGCAGUUUACACUCCCACCAAUAAUGUAGAAGAGUGUCCCUCCUACCCUCUCCAGCAUUUGCAUUGUUUGUGGGGUUUUCCUUUUGAUAGCCAUUCUUUCUGAAAUAAGAUGGAAUUUCUUUUUUCUUUUUUUUGUCUUUUCACUUCUCUGGUGGCCAGAGAUGUUUAGCAUUUUUCUGUGUUUAUUAGCCAUUUGUACUUCUUCUGAGAAGUCCAUUCAUUUUAGUUGUCCAUUUCUUGAUUGGAUCUCUAUUGCCUUCUCUUAUAUGAAAUACCUAAAAUCUAAAUAAUUUCACAAUAAUAAAGCAAGAGAUAAACAAUAGGGAAUGGGGAGAUGGACCUUCUGCAAGUGAGAAGGGGAUCCAGAGUCAAGGGAGGGGUGGACAGGAGAGGAAGGGAUUAAAAAGGAUUAAUACAUGUUAAGUACAUGUACCUACCCUCUAAGAUGAACGUAAGCAUUAAGCGCUGCCAAUAUGUGCUAAUAAAAAUUGAAGAAAACAAAAGUUGUCUGGUUCCAGAUCUGAUGAAUGAAGACACACUGUAAUGUUUUUAUUUGACAGAAAUUACCAUAAAUGGCUGAUCAGUGAGGGUGAUCAAAAAUAUGGUGAAUUCUUAAAAGUGAUUAUUUCAGUAAAAACACAUUGCCGUUAAUCUCCCUCAGAGUACUGGCCUUGAGCGCACUUGUCCCUUUGUUCUUGGCAAUAUGCCGUUUACUGUAAUGUUUUUUGUCUAAUUUAAAGAUUUCUCUUAAUUUUCUGUAACCCCUGUAUUUCCAAGAUAGUGUAAACAAAUUUAAACUCCAUGUGGAUAUGUCUUUCUUUUGGGAAGUCAAGCUGGACAAAGGCAUGUAGGAAUCUUAAGCGUUGAGAUUGACUGUUUUCUGAAUUCUUACUCCUUUGUGCCUUUUGUGUUGUCCUAUUACUUCUUUAAUUCACUUCCUCCUUUUCAUUGCUAGAUACCAUUUCCAUUUCAGGUGUCUCCUGCUGCUGCUUUUCUCGCCCACAUUUCGAAUUCAGUGAACCGUUCUGUGCUGAUGUAAGGUGUAGGAUUCCUGUUGUGCUCAGGGUAACCUGGGCCAGGGAAGGAUUAAACUUACGAUUGCCCAUGUGAGGGUACCAUGCUAUUUUUUUAUUAAAGAUAAAAAUAUACCAGUCUAGGUUAUUAUUACUGACAAUGAUGGUAUGGUAACAAUAGCACGGCCAGGGGUGUGGAAGCUAAAACUAGCAGUAUUCCCAGCUAGGGGUUCCACUUCCUUUCCUGGAUCUUCUUUUUUGAAGAGGCAGGAACCCGGUUGUAUAGUUUCUUAAUAAACCACUUCCUAACCAAGGAACAGAGUGACUGUUGUUAGACCAUGUCCUGCCAUGGUAAAGGGCUAAAGCUGGAAGUGUGAAAGGCUCAGAGGUGAAAAGACCCUGCAGCGUAGCCAAGGUUGGUGGAGCUGUGCAUGGCAUGAGAGAAGAGAUGACAGGUGUGUUGUGGACCAAGCUUGGUUCAUCCCUGGAGUGGACAUCCAGAACAGGGAUGGGUCUGAGAAAGAUUUAGAAGAUUCCAGGAGACUUGGUGAUUAAUAGGGAAUGGGACUUGUGCAAGGACAAGAUUUGAACGUGAUACCUGGGGACUAGGUUCGGAUAUACAGAUAGGUGGUAGAGAAAAUACAUCAAGAAUGCAGGUUUAUAAAGGAAGACUGAUGUCUCUCUUCAGGACACUGGAACAUUUGCAGAAUUUCUCUUUUUUGAAAGAGAAAAUGUGUUUCAUUCUCAAGAUUUUUGUAGUGAAUCCAAAAAACACACAAGCUUUUAAUGGUUUUGAAGAAGUGAACCUCUUCCUCAAAGACUGUUCUAGUUCUUCCUUCACUGCCACUAAAGUAAUGCUGAGUAUAAAUCUUCAAUGCUGAGUAUAAAUCCUCCAUGAUGUGAAUAAUGAAAAAUUUGUGUCGCUCUCUAAACUUGGGAGGUACAUUACGUUUGCCUUUGUGACUUUAUGGAUAUUAGGUUUGGAUUGUGGUUAAGCUAAUGAACUGAGGAACUCAAGUUGAUGGCCUCAUCAUUCAAUUCAGCAGCCUGUCUUAAAUUUCAGGCUAAUAUCUAUGUUUAUACAUGAUUGCUUAGCCAGAAUUCUUUUGGUACAUUAACAUUUUCCAUACUUAACUCAUGCUGAAUUUUAAUAGACAUUUUUCAGUUUGAGAAGACCUUAAACUUACGAAUAUUUAUAGUUUUUACUUCCAUGAUGGUCUUGUUGAUUUAACAUUACAAGUGUAUUUAUGUGAUAUGACAUAGACCAACAGAACAAUCAUAGUGUACAGUUCUGAAAAUUUAUGAUAGUAUUUGGGUUGCUGUAUCAGCUCAAGCAGUUGCAUUCAUUGAAAUAACUUUAAAAUUUUUUGUAGCUUUUGAAAUAGAGCAAAAUGCAAAAUCUCUUGACAAAUCCAUUUUUUGGAAAUCCUGGAAUCAUUUUGCACUUUUCCAAUGACAUGAACACUGUGUAAGUUAGUAACCCUAGAAAUAACAAAAUUCUGGGUUUGUAAAGUAUAACAUUUGUCUUUCUGUCUUUAUAAGGAAUUUUCUUAAGAAUGAAAAUAGUCACAGUAUUACCAUGGAUAUAAAUCAUCAACGUGAAGUAGUUUUUUGAUUGAUAGAUGAGAAUUGUAGAAGUCAUAUAGCCAAUAUAAAUUAGUAUUUUCAAGUUUCACAUAUAACCAGUGUAAGGUCAUCUCACUGUUUGAUGAUAUUCUGCAAAAUGUAUUUCUAUUAUGAUAGUGCAGAGGGUUUUUUGGGUAAUUUUUACUGUUGAUUUUUAGGGUAUAUAUGCUGCAUUUAAGACAAAGAGGAGCUGAAGAGAAGUUUGUGAUGAUUUGAUAGCUCUUUGGUUCAUGUGUGGGGCGGCCUGUGGUGUGAUAAGAAUAGAAAUAUUGUUUCAUUCAAAAAAAUCAAUUGAGAUUUGAUUGCAUCAGUGCUUGUCUUGAAAUUUAUACAGGAAUUCUAGACAUUACCUCCUGAGCCCUGCCUCAUGUCAGAUCAGGGCAGCAUUAGAUUCUCACAGAGAAAUACUUCAGAUUUUCCGUGGCCAUUUCUAUAGUGGGUGAACUUCAUUGACAGAGUUGACAGGGCUCCCAAUGGGCUCUUGGAAUUUCUAGGAGUUCAAGAACUAGAUGGAUAAAACAGUUACACUUUUAUGUUCACUAAUAUCUAAUUGCAGUUAUUUCCCUUGAUUGUGAAUGUGGUCAUAGUAAUAUUGACCAAACCUCCACUUUGCCACUGAUAAAAAUCAAAGUUAUUUUUAUAUAAUAUAGUUACUUUAUAGAUCUGAAACUAUUAAAUUCAUCAUUACUUCAAAAUUAUAUUUAUUACACCGUGGUCUUGUUAUUUACAAAGGAGUAAAUGACUGUGUCAUAUUUUAAAAUAUUUUGAUAACUGUCAAUCUUACUGAUUUCUGUCUAGUUACUGAUUUAAUCUAGUUAUGACACUUCCAAAAUGUCUUUCAGAGAAUGGGUCCAUAGACUUCAAUAGGGUGCCAAGAUGAUCUAUGGAACAAAAAAGGUUAAGACUUCCUGGGUAAGGGAACAGAUGGUGGGUGUUCCAGAGUUGUCCUACCUGUCCCUCACCAAGUGACCUUGGGCAUUUAGGUCCUAUGGCACUUCAUGGCAUUUGAUGAAUGACAACCAGCAGUUUAUGAGAUAAUUGUAGAGAUAAUAACAUGAGGGGGAGUAGCUUUGAGAAAAUUCAGUGUUAUACAUGCAGAAGAUGUUAUUAAAUGGACUUUUUUUUUUGCCUUUGUAAGGACAUGGCACAUAUUAGUAUCUUUAAGACAACAAAUGAAGCAUCUAAUAUAAAUUCUGCUUUCACUCUACAGUUCAGUGUGUGGCUCGGUAUCAUUACUCUUUACGGUGAAGUGCUAUGGAACAUGCCAAUUCCAAUAUAACUUCUAAAACAUUACUGUUCACGGGAGCAAAGAGAAUUACUUUUCCCUAAAUAUUUCUUUUGAAGUUGAUUUCUGUACUGGCCAAUCCUCCAUUCCAAACCUGUGCACUUCAGUGCUCUCCAAAGCAGUGUGUCAGUCAUGCAGUCUGGGAGAAAAAUGCAUGUUCCAUUUCUAACAAGCUACAGGGUUGCCUCUAUUUUUAGAUGAAAAAAAAAAUUUUAAAUUAAAAAUAGAGGAAAACACCUCUAUUUUUAAAAUAUUAACAGUCAAGGAGCAAAUGAGAGGAGGGAAGAACAUUGAACUUGGUGCUGGAAGUUUUACAAAAUUUUAGUUUCCUGAAAACCUCAUGUAGCUCAUGAAUACUAUGCAUUUGACAAAUGAAUACACUAGAGUCAAUUGGAAAUGUGCUAGAGGGUCACAUUUCUAAAAAGUUACAGAAUUUAGACUCAAAUUCAGGGUUAAAUAUAAAUCCAUCUCAAUUAAAUAGAGUUACUAAGUAAAAUUAUGUAUGUGGGCAUUAAUUUUGAAAUGUGAAGUAUUGUUUAGAAUUUUCUGUUUUUCAUGCAUGAUACAUUUUUUCAUUGAUAUUUGAGACAGAAGAGUAUUUUUAACCCUUUGAAAUUAUUGGUGAGGCUUGAUAUAUAGACGAAUGGUAAGCAUAGGCUUUAAUUAUUGUGAAAAGUGCCAUGUCUCCUGAUGCCCAAGCCUGAUAUAGAUGCAUAUUUUGAAAGUUUAAGUGAAUGAGCAACUGAAAAAUGGAUGGAAGGUGUAUUAUCAUGGGUCAAAAUUGUGACUCACAUAAACAGGACAUUGACUUGGGAUAAGUGUCUCUUCAGAGAACACUAGCAAUAGUAGACAAGAUAACAAAAGGGCUGGGGAUGUAGCUCAGUGAUUCCACCACCUGCCUCACAAGCUCAAGGUCCUGAGUUUGAUCCCUGGUACAAAAAAAAAAAAGAUAACCAAAAAAAGGAAAAUGUCACAGGAAAAAUAAGUUUGCACUGUUGACUGGCCCCUGGUAGUCAUCAGGAGUUUGGCGCGUAUCAUUUCACGUAUUGUCCUCAUUCGUAGGAACUCAGGCGCUUGGUUCAGGCAGUGUACUCCCACUUCAUGGAGAAGUGAGGUGACAUUAUGGAAGGUGAGGUAAUGUUGUCAUUUUUACAGAUGAAACCCAAUGCCAGGUCAUCUCAUUCAGAAUCUGCCCCCCUUUCAACCGUAUCUCACCAUUCCAUGUGGAGAGGGGUGAGGACAGGAGGAGGAAGUGGGAAAGAGAGAUGCACAUCAUGGAGAAUAUGAAAAGCUGCAGAACAAAGCAGAAAGAGGUCACGAGCAGAAACGUGAACCCUUGGAGUGUGGACUAAGACGCUCCCUUCAGGCUGAUGUAAUAUGCCUUCUUCAGAGACCCUUCCCAUCCUUCUUGUCCCUUUGCCACAUCAGUCUCUCCUGUGAUAUGUCACUUCUCCACAUACUCCACAGCAGUCAUCCCGACCCAUGGUUAUUUAUUUGGCUAAUUUUUUUUGUCAGCCAACUCUGUACUUAAAUCCUAGCUUGUCAGUCUCUGAGGAGUGGAACGGUGCCCAUUUUCUUCCGUACCAUAGUCUCAGUACAUGGUACUCUGUAACUUUUCAGCAGAUGAAAAUAGGAAUCAGUAUAUACAGUUCUAUAAAGGAGUAGAAAUAAUAGAACAACCAACAUGUACGUAAAGGCUUGGAAUUUUUAUAAAAGGAAAUAAUGCAAGGGGCUCGCAAUCAAGAAAUGCCAUGUGUCCUGAAUUUUCUAGGAAGUCCAUAUGUUAAAUUUUAGUAAUCGCCUGGUUGUGUCCCUCAAUUUUUCAUUCAGAUAAUACAGGUAAUUAUAACUCAGUAACCAUCAAAGAAAAAGUAUAUCUUGUAAAAAUAGAAAAAGGGAGGAUUCUGAAAAUAGCAAAUGAGCGUUCUACCUCCACAGUUGUACUGGAAGAGGUGGUAUUAAAAUCCAGUUUAACAGCUGAAAAGAUGGUAGACCUGGGGAAUUCAGCCUGUCCAAGAAAAACUCACUCUGAUAAGGUGAGCUCAUGAUUUCCCUCCAGUUAGUUUCAUGGUGUUUGAGGUGAAGGGGAAAGGACAUCUUGAGACCUCUAGGCCGUCUGCUUGCUGGGCUGGGGCAUGGGUCACUCUGGAGCUCUCAUUCUGGCUUAUGCCAGCUACAGUUACAGCCACCUCCACAGCUCUCUAUAAAAACAACAUUCACCGUGAUUACUAAGUCAUUGGCAGAAUGUUGAAUUAUAUUACUUGUAAGAAAGAAGUGUAGAGUUUGCUAGUCAAAAAAAAUGAAAGAAAAUAGUUUAAUUCUGUUAUUGAAGAUUCUCCUAUCUAAGUUGAUCCUGGGUGACUUAGGUGAGCUAUCGAUUUAGAGAUUAUUUUCUUUUAAAAACUAUACAUGAUUUAUAUUUGUAUCUUUAAAAUCCUGAUUUCCCACUCAGAGGUCAUUUAUAAACAAAAGCCUCGUUGUUCUCAUUCAGCAGAGGUGCAUUAUCAGGUACUGGAGAGCAUCCUAAUGAAUAAAGUCAUGCCCCAAACAAUGACAUUUCAGUCAGCAAUGCUGAUCACACAUACGAUGGUGGUCCCAUGAGAUUAUGUCACCUACUGAUGGGGAAGCCAUUCUUAGUUAAGUAAGUACACUCUGUGAUGUUUGCAUCAUGACAGAUUUAGGGGAUUUUGUCCUCAAGUGUACCUCUUGAAGCAUACUUACACAAACUAAGGUAGCUAUGAUGUCACUGGGUGGUAAAUCCUACGGACUGGUCGUCAUAUAGAUGAUAUAUUUCACUGAGCCAAAUGUUACGUGGUUCAUGACUGUGGUGUUUGUCUCUAAAGAGCUUACAGUCUAGUGCAGGAGAAAGACACAAAGAUAAUUCCAGUUCAGGUUGUUCAUACCACAGAGGGACUGGGGUGGCAUUCAGAGGACACUAUGAGGGGGUGACAGCUGUAGCCAGGGUCAUUCACACUAUUGUCAUGAAGCCCGGAUUUCAUGAGUCUAAAAUACAAUUCACUAUUCUCAUUUCUUGCCCGUGUAUACUUAGUACUCUAUAAGUGGUGUUAGCAUCAUAUGAUUCGGAUGAAAACUUAUACGAAAGGAAUUAAAAUACCUGGCACAUAGCUCUUAAGGAAUUUCAAAAAUUUCUCUUAUUUAAACCCUGCUAAUUACUCUGUGAAUUGGAAUUUUCCAGAAUCUAAGACAUCAUGUCUCAGUAACUCAAAAUCAUGAAUCUGUGUACAAUUCAAACAUAAUCUAAAUCCAAACAGGAACGAUUAAUCUUUUUUAACAUGUCAGAUGUUUAUGACAUUUUUAAAAAGAUUCUUCAGUAAAGAAUGUGUUUGUUACUAAGGAAUAUAUAGUUCUAAGUAUAAUAUAGUUUUGUGUUACUUUUGACUGAAUUCCUUUGUGAUUCCUGUGAGCUUCCUAGCGUUACAGUAAGAGCCUUUAAUACUGGCAGGAAAUUUAUAAGCAUACUUACACAGCAGUUACAGGGUAUGUUUCUUAGACCUUAUUACUGUGAUCCAGUUUCCGUUGAAGCUUAUUUUUGGUUUUCUUUAAAGGGGAAAGCAUAAACUGUUGUAUAGGACAGAGAAUACAUAUGCAGUACUCUUAUGAGUGUAUGUAUAUAUAAAUGCAUUAAUGAAAUAGGUUUAUUUUUCUACAGUUCUUCUUUACAGUGCUUGAUGCUAAAUAAGCAAAAUGAUACUGAAGUGUAAAGUGGAGGGAGAUAGAAAAUGCCUUUGUAUUGCCAAGAAUUUACUAAAUGGACUAGGAUAUCCAUUCUGUACUGUAUUUUUAUAUUUGAACAGAGUCCCUUAGAAGAUUCCGUUUCUUCCCAGGCACCAUCACUAAGAAGUUCUUUCACCUUAUUUUCCUCUCAUUUCUUUCUGGUUAGACAUGAGCAGAGCAUACCCCUGUGGUGCAGUUGGUCAUCCAUACCUGCCUGCAGCAUUUCCUCCUUCGGGCUCCACCUCUGUAAUGAAUUACUCAGGAUAAUCCAAGUUAUUGUGUGUAAAAAUUUUGUUAAGCAUGUUGCCAUCCUUAAGGUUUAUGAAAUCUUAAUGUGGGUGCUUCUAUGAGUCUCUCGAGAUUAUUUGUAACAUGUUGUGUUCAUGUCUGUGUGGAAGGAAUGGUAUACAGCUUUCAUCUAUUUCUCAUGAGGGUCUGGGAUUCCAAAAAUAAGAAAAUAGUGGGAGCUGAUUGUGAGAUUUUCAGCAAUACCACCUUAUCUUCUUUUUUUUAUUAUUAAAAAAAACUCUUUAAACUUUGAUCCUUGAACAGGAGCAAAAGAUGUAGUAAUGAUUGAUUUAUUUGAGCACAUACAGGUUUUUUUGGCAUUCAUGUUUAUCUUACGGUUUUAUUAGAUAUAUCUGCCAGUUUUGAAUGGUAAAACCCAAAGUCACCAGAAUCCUUUUAUUUGGAGGCAAUAUAGGUCUUUUGUAUGACCCAAGUGGAUGUGUAUCACCUAUAGAUAAUAAAUCCUAACCUCUGUGAGGAACAUGUAAGAACUGUGUGGUCCAGUACACCCUAAAAAUUAUAUCCAGUUUUGAAGUAUUCACAUUAUUAGCUCUUUUUCAUUAAAUUCUUCCAAAAGAUGGACAGAUUAAACACAUUUGAUCAAAUGUUGACUGUAAUUCCUCUAAGAGAACUAACAUCAUCUUUCCAGAUAAUAUUCAAGUUGAAAUGUCUGGGAAAGAAUUAAUAGAGAACUAGGCAAUGAAAUUGGACCCAAAUUAUCAAUAAGUAGAAAUAAGUCAUUUAUUAAUUCAUUCCACCAUGGGUUCUUCCUUUCAGUACCUCUUUUCUGCUAAAAUGACCCAGAGGAAUGGUGCAUGAAAGAUGGGUGCAUUUCCUGGUGAUGUAACAAGAAAAUAACAUGCAUAGCAUUUGAGAUUUCUUUCAAUGUAUUUGUCUUUAUUAUUGUGCAUUCAGAUUGUGGUUUAGCUUAUUUUAUAUAUCUACUUAGUCUUUUUAGAAGGUUUUCUUUUUUUUAAAGAUGGUUUUGUUUUGCAAGACCAAAUUUAGCUUAAAGGAGUACUCGUAUUGGUAUGCUAAUAUCGUUUUAAGGAAACUGCAAAUUACAUAUUAACUUAUUAUCCAGGUACUCUAAUGGAUUAGUGAUAAGCACGACCGUAUCUUGAAAAUGGAAGCAUUUUUUUCUUGAUAUUCUAGGACCGACUGUUUUUAGAAUAUCCGUGAUUAAACAGUUUCAUAUAAUUUAAAUUUAGCAAACAAAGAACUUAGGCAUGGCAUUUUAAUAAGGGGUUUAUGUUGUACUAAGAACACAUAGUUGAAUAAAUAGAGUUUUUUGAAAGGGCACAUUUAGGGCAUUUUUAUAAUUUAAAGAUAUCUAUUCUUUAAUCUUAUACUGUACUCUCAUACCAGUGCUCUGUAAGUCAAGAAGCAAAAACUUUUGUUCUCAGUAUAUAUACUCUUUUUUGACCGUCUUCCUCAUCUGCAUAGCCUUCCCCUUGUUUUUAAAUUUAACAUACCACGAACUAAACUGAACUACAUCAAUAUAGCAUUUCACUUAUAGAUGUAAAUUUUACUACUUUUAAAUUACCCACUUAUAGAUGGCAAUUUAAGGGGGAAGGAUGAACAGAAAAAAACAACAAUACAUAUGCUACAAAUUAGAAAGCAUUAAUAUUAAAUAAAAGAAGAGCCAAUUGAUGGAGACUUCCUUAUGUUUAAUAUACUAUCCUACUCAUAAUUUCCUGGAUUCCUCUAGGAAGACAUUUAAAAAUUUUGAUAUCACAAGAAUUUUUCUAUUUGGAGGGAUAUCGGUGUAUAUUAUAGUUAUUUAAUUCUGGCAGAGCUUUGACUUGAAAAGACUUUCAUGUUAUAUCUAUCAGAAAAGGAGAAACAGUCUAGGCAUUUAACAGUUUAAUGAAUUUAUAUUGGGAAAUAUGUUAUAUAAAGGAAUUUCAUCCUGUGCAGAGGAUGAUGAUGAUGCCAUAAAAGGCGUGGUUGCUUUUUCAACAGAGUAAACGGGCUUGUCUUGGUUUAUACUAAUGCCUUAAUACAGAAAUGGAUAGAUCUAAAUUUUUAAGGUUUGCAGGUGAAGAUUUAACCACCGUUUUUGUAGGCUCAUUUAAAAAUAGUUUUUGUUUCAGAAGUGUUUGCUAAGGAUUCAUCUCCACAUAUGCACCUCAGCCUUGAAACACUCACAACAUACAUGCACACACAUACACCCUCUCUUAUUCACUGUAGUUUUAUAGAUUUUUUAAAUACUUACGAAUCCAUAAUGUUUUGACUCAGAUUGUUCAAACUGGAAUUGUCACUGGCGGGCUUUAGUCUUUCCCUGUAAUACUCAUGUGAGGAAGCUGUAGCAUUGAGCCUUCCAGAUCGGUAGCAAGGUCUCCCCAUACACACACAGACACAUGCCCAGUCUUACUUAUUGUGUGCUUUUGUUCUUUGAGAAUAUAAACAUGAGAGAAGGCUUCUUAACCCCCCCCCAUACUGUUUGAUUCAGUACCUCAUUGUCUUCCCAAACAUGAUAAUAACCUAGAGUUUCUUCCACUAGAGAGCUGACAGAGACUGAAAUUCUUAUUUUGAUAACAAGAUUGUUUUGCUACAUACACACAUAAGCUGCAAAGGCCCCAUUUUGGUGAAUAAGUCUGUCCUGGGCACUUAUGGCAUAUAGCCUUAUGCCUAAGGCUGCUUGAGGAAGAAGACUUUUUGAUUGUGAAUAAUGCCACAGUUAUAUGUGGGUCCUCAGUAUCCUACUUAUCAAAUUUACCUUUAUGCCAGAUAGCUUUAUGUUAAACUGCCAGUAUAUUUACAUAUAGAUCAUUGUGGCUUAAUAAGCUACAGCAUAGGUAUACCACCUUUGUGGAUGGAACUCCUGAAAAAAAGACUUUUUCUCCCCAUUCUUGAUGUCUUAUUUCACAGAUGUCUGGCUUCAAAUGAGAAGCUGUUUGUCCACUCACAAAGUUUUCUUCAAAAGUAUAUAAUGUAAAAGGAUACAAUAGAGGAGGAGGCGGCACACUAUUUAAUACAAUUCGCAAAAUAAUUUGUACAUCUAUAGCAGAUUCGAGUUUGUAUCAGUAUUUUAAGUCCCUCAGAUUUCUUUCUACUACCUUGAAUGAAAUUUUCUCCAGCGCACAGACAGAGCUGCCGCUUUUGAUCAUUAGCAGUAGCAGUGGCUUCCUCUGUUUUAUAAGGGCAACAUAUGAAAAGUUUUUCAGUUUGUCCCUCUUCAUACCCUUCACUUGCGUGAUGCAUGUCUGAAGCUCACACGCAAAGCUUGUGUGAUCCUCACGUGCAGGAUUUUGGCUGACGGUGGCAUUCAGUAAGCAGCGCCCUGGUCUCAGGCCGGGAACUUCCUGCCCUGGCCAUUUAAUGCUGACCAGCCCAGCGUGGUAGAUCCAAGCUCUGCUCAUAUUUUUUAAAAACGGGAGAACAACAGGUUUAGCCAGGGUAAGUAAUUUGGCAAGGGCCCGGUGGCAAGGCCAGGAUGUGUAAGCUCCUCAACUUGAACUUUAUUUUUUUCUUGAGGUGUCUGACAAGAAACCUCUUUAUUUGAAGUGUGAUUCUUAGCAUUGUGUACCAGUGUCCCCUGAGGGCUGGGGUGGACCCCACACUGCAGAUGAGUUUGGAGGACUUUGUUGUUUGUGGAUGAUGGGCUGAGAGGGACCUCUUACUGUGUGGCCCUGCCUGUCCUUGGGGUGCACUGUGGCAGGUGUGCUGGCCUGGUAUAGGGUUAAAAUAUGUUUUGCAUGUUUAGAUGUGUGAUUAUCUUAGGAGCUGUGAUUUAUGUAAUAAUUAUUCAAGCCCUGUAGUGGUAUUUUUGCAGGAUGAUGAAAGAGGUGUCCAUGCCUAAAUGGAAGGUGCCAUUAAAGGGAACUGUUUGGUAUGCACAGGAGCGUCACCAGGAUGUAGUUCCUUAUUUUCGGUACAUGGUCUGCCUCAGUGACUCUGUCCUGUAAAUCACUACAAUAUUGUAAUGUGAAUGGUCAGUAAGAAGGGUGACAUCAGAUCUUGUUUCAGUAGCAGCCGUGGUCUUUUCAUGUAGGGCUCUAACUACA